GGUUUGGGAGUGAAGUCCUAAUUAAUGACUCCAGAUAGUCUCAUGGGGUUAAGACUUCAGCUUUCUGAAAAUCAAAAGCUUAUAGCAGAGUGAUUUUAGGUGCUAUAUUUGAUAGAGAAAGUGGCUCAGAGAGGUUAGGUAAUGUGCCUAAAGUGACACAGCAAAUUGGUGACAUGUACUGCCCAAUAAUACAGAUAACUUGUUCUUUUCACUACUGCACAUCAUCUCUAGCCUCAGAACAGAUGAAACCCUGGAAAGAGGCCAGAUUACAGUAUGGAUGAAUGUGAAAGUGUCAUUCUAGAAUCGUCCAAUGCUAUAAGUACAAGGGACAGAAAAGAGAAUCGUACAUUGUAUAAAUACCAAAAGAGGAAAGAAGACAAGAAGGAAAAGUUGA